UACGUAGGGUGCAAGCGUUGUCCGGAAUUAUUGGGCGUAAAGAGCUCGUAGGCGGUUUGUCGCGUCUGCUGUGAAAACUCGGGGCUUAACCCCGGGCCUGCAGUGGGUACGGGCAGACUAGAGUGCGGUAGGGGAGACUGGAAUUCCUGGUGUAGCGGUGAAAUGCGCAGAUAUCAGGAGGAACACCGGUGGCGAAGGCGGGUCACUGGGCCGCAACUGACGCUGAGGAGCGAAAGCAUGGGGAGCGAACAGG
rnacentral:rRNA from 1 species